UGGGUUGACUAGGCGGCCGCGCGCCACGUGAGUGGCUCGAGGAACGUCCGGGCUCCACAGGGCAGGGUGGUGGGUAACGCCCACUCGGGGUAACCCGCAGGCCAGUGCCACAGAGAACAGACCGCCCGCGCCUGCUUGUGCCAGCACGGGCAGGCAGCAGGUAAGGGUGAAACGGUGGUGUAAGAGACCACCAGCUCCUUGGGUGACCAAGGAGGCUAGGUAAACCCCACCCGGAGCAAGGCCAGACAGGGCACGAUCGAGGGCUGCUCGCCCGAGUGUCCGGGUAGGCCGCUGGAGGGCGUCGGCAACGGCGUUCGUAGAUGGAUGGUCGCCACUCCUUCGCCGGCAACGGCGCGGGAGGACAGAACCCGGCGUAUCGGUCAACCCAUCCC
rfam:Arthrobacter sp. SRS-W-1-2016 contig36775, whole genome shotgun sequence.